rnacentral:misc_RNA from 1 species
UCCCGGUUGGCCCGGGCAGUCUCGCGUGAAAAAUUCAACACACGACAAGGGUUGCGCUCGUUGCGGGACUUAACCCAACAUCUCACGACACGAGCUGACGACGGCCAUGCAGCACCUGUCACCAGGUUCCCGAAGGCACUCCCCUAUUUCUAGAGGAUUCCUGGGAUGUCAAGCCUUGGUAAGGUUCUUCGCGUAGCUUCGAAUUAAACCACAUCAUCCACCGCUUGUGCGGGUCCCCGUCAAUUCCUUUGAGUUUUAAUCUUGCGAUCGUACUCCCCAGGCGGGAUACUUAACGCGUUAGCUUCUUAGCCCAGAGGGUCGAUACUCCAAACUAACAGUAUCCAUCGUUUACGGCGUGGACUAC